UUGGAAACUGGAAUGAAUGGCUAGACGAGAGAAAUAGUGUCUCAAUGAAAAUUAAUGAAUUUUAUUUUUAAGUGAAAAAGCUUAAAUGAUUUUAAAAGACGAGAAGACCCUAUAGAGUUUAACAUUAAGUUUAUAAUAAAUAAUUGGUAUUUUUUGUUAUUAUAUUGAUUUUUGUUUAGCUGGGGUGGCUUUAAAAUUGAUUUAACUUUUAUUAAUAAAAACACUUAUUUGUGAUUAUUUGAUCCAUAUUUUUGAUUAAAAGAUUUAAUUACCUUAGGGAUAACAGCG
rnacentral:rRNA from 1 species